UACGUAGGUGGCAAGCGUUAUCCGGAUUCACUGGGCGUAAAGCGCGCGUAGGUGGUCCUUCAAGUCAGAUGUUAAAUAUUCCGGCUCAACUGGAAUCUGUCGUCUGAUACUGCUGGACUCGAGGACGGUAGAGGGAGGUGGAAUUCCCGGUGUAGUGGUGAAAUGCGUAGAUAUCGGGAGGAACACCAGUGGCGAAGGCGGCCUCCUAGGCCGUUCCUGACACUGAGGCGCGAAAGCGUGGGGAGCGAACAGG
rnacentral:rRNA from 1 species